rnacentral:rRNA from 1 species
GACGAACGCUGGCGGCGUGCUUAACACAUGCAAGUCGAACGGAAAGGCCCUUCGGGGUACUCGAGUGGCGAACGGGUGAGUAACACGUGGGUGAUCUGCCCUGCACUUUGGGAUAAGCCUGGGAAACUGGGUCUAAUACCGAAUAGGACCACGCGCUUCAUGGUGUGUGGUGGAAAGCUUUUGCGGUGUGGGAUGGGCCCGCGGCCUAUCAGCUUGUUGGUGGGGUAAUGGCCUACCAAGGCGACGACGGGUAGCCGGCCUGAGAGGGUGACCGGCCACACUGGGACUGAGAUACGGCCCAGACUCCUACGGGAGGCAGCAGUGGGGAAUAUUGCACAAUGGGCGCAAGCCUGAUGCAGCGACGCCGCGUGAGGGAUGACGGCCUUCGGGUUGUAAACCUCUUUCAAUAGGGACGAAGCGCAGGUGACGGUACCUAUAGAAGAAGCACCGGCCAACUACGUG